AGUGAACGCUGGCGGUAGGCCUAACACAUGCAAGUCGAACGGCAGCACAGUAAGAGCUUGCUCUUACGGGUGGCGAGUGGCGGACGGGUGAGGAAUACAUCGGAAUCUACUUUUUCGUGGGGGAUAACGUAGGGAAACUUACGCUAAUACCGCAUACGACCUACGGGUGAAAGCAGUGGAUCUUCGCACCUUGCGCGAUUGAAUGAGCCGAUGUCGGAUUAGCUAGUUGGCGGGGUAAAGGCCCACCAAGGCGACGAUCCGUAGCUGGUCUGAGAGGAUGAUCAGCCACACUGGAACUGAGACACGGUCCAGACUCCUACGGGAGGCAGCAGUGGGGAAUAUUGGACAAUGGGCGCAAGCCUGAUCCAGCCAUACCGCGUGGGUGAAGAAGGCCUUCGGGUUGUAAAGCCCUUUUGUUGGGAAAGAAAAGCAGCAGGUUAAUACCCCGCUGUUCUGACGGUACCCAAGGAAUAAGCACCGGCUAACUUCGUG
rnacentral:rRNA from 1 species